CACUUACAUUUCUUCGUGUCUUGAUAAUCGUUGAGACAUGGGAGUCCUCAAGGUUCCAAGCCUGCUAUGCUUGGUAUUUCUCAUGCUACUCCUCUUGGCUCCUGGCUUUGAUGCCAAGACUUGCAAGGAGGCCAGCCAGAGCUAUAGCACUUUUAAGUGCAAAGAUGAUCCAUGUGUUGAGGCCUGCCAUAAGGAGGGAUUUAUUGAUGGGAAGUGUACCCUAGUCUAUUCACCAGGCGUUGUAUUCAUAUGUUUCUGCAAAACAUGUUAGAAACUACCGCAUGACGAUCCAUGUCUUGCUGAAUAGAAACAUGUUGAAACUAAGGCGUGAUGUGUGAUGCAAAAAGUAGUAAGAUUCGUUUUUAAAAA